UACGAAGGGGGCUAGCGUUGCUCGGAAUCACUGGGCGUAAAGCGCACGUAGGCGGAUUGGUCAGUUAGGGGUGAAAUCCCAGAGCUCAACUCUGGAACUGCCUUUAAUACUGCCAGUCUAGAGUCCGGAAGAGGUAAGUGGAACUCCUAGUGUAGAGGUGGAAUUCGUAGAUAUUAGGAAGAACACCAGUGGCGAAGGCGGCUUACUGGUCCGGUACUGACGCUGAGGUGCGAAAGCGUGGGGAGCAAACAGG
rnacentral:rRNA from 1 species